rnacentral:rRNA from 1 species
UACGGAGGGGGCGAGCGUUAUUCGGAAUUAUUGGGCGUAAAGGGCGCGUAGGCGGCCCGGUAAGUCAAAGGUGAAAUCCCUCGGCUCAACUGAGGAACUGCCUUUGAAACUGUCGGGCUUGAGGCCGGGAGGGGGUAGCGGAAUUCCCAGUGUAGCGGUGAAAUGCGUAGAUAUUGGGAGGAACACCAGUGGCGAAGGCGGCUACCUGGACCGGUUCUGACGCUGAUGCGCGAAAGCGUGGGUAGCAACAGGA